ensembl:lncRNA
CUUUAGGUUGUGACUUCAUAUGAAUUACUAUAUAAUAUGUUCCGGCAACUAUUCAGAAUAUAAAUAUUGACACACAACAACUUCAUUCAUAUUGUUCUGUCACUUUGGUCUUAAAUGCAACACCAACAGUCUACAUAAACGCAUUUUAGACAUCGACCUCUUUGGCCAUGGUUGGAAAAAAACAGUCCCCACACUUUUGAUCCUUUAGCACAGUAAUUCACUGGCGGGGGUAACAUCUGUAGUCUGUAUGUAAAGAAGGAAACGUUGUGUCGGACACAGGUUGCCUCUUGACAUGACAUCCCGAGAUUAUAGGUUACUCCAGAGAAUUUGGCAUCGGGCAUCGGGAGAUUAUUUUGCCGUCAAGUCAGAACGAUUUGACAGGCACACAGACACAUCUAAAAAUAUCCGUGACGUUUCAAAGCCGGAAACGGCGCUGUUGCACAGACACACGACGACGCACGGCGCGCGCGGAGCUCCUGGCUUUAACAUAUCCGCUGAGUGUGAAUGUGACUCACCUGUUCAGGCAACUCUGAAAAUUCUUGGAAUUUUGCCUCCUUCGGACAGUUUGACAGCAGAGAGAGUGACAGGAAAGGUUGGCAGAGAAAAAUAGAGAGCGAGAGCUGACAUGCAACAGAAGUCCCCAGCGGACUCAAGCUGGGGACAUUGUGGUUACGUGUUGUGCAUCUUUUAGGCUGCUGCUCCUCCAGGACAUUUCCUGAGACUGACCUGUCUUCCACAGGUUGAGACAGCUGAUAUAUUUCCUCUGGCAGAGCGGCACAGUUUCACAUAUAUGUAAAGUAAUAAAAAGAGCAAACACUGGAGCAAAGCACUCCCUGAAGAAGCAGCUCUGCUCUUCAUGGUGGUCUAUUUUCUCUCUCUGAAGAAAAUAUCUAUACUUAAUGUUAAACUCUCCCCUCAUACCAGUACUUAAAGCCAGUGAAAGAAGGCAAUACUGCAGUAACCACUCUUUGUUGAACUGCCAAGAGCAUCUGUCAGUGUCGUCUUUCUGCCAGCAAAAAACAAAACCCACUGUGUGCAAAUGCCAUCACCGUUUCCAUCCUAUAUAGGUCUUGGCACACAUUAGUUAACAGACAAAAUACACAACUUUCAACUAUGUGAAUAAAUAAAUAAAUGAAUACAUAUCAGCCUCUAUGUUCCAUUCCUACAUUUUGUUUUAAAGGUAGAGAUGAGUGUCAAGUAUAUGACAAACUGAUGAGAAGAGGGCACGAUUAACAAUCCACUUCCUGUCUGAGAGCAAAAACAUGCAAAAUCCAGUUUCACAGAAAAAACUGAAAAACAAAGUCUGUGCCAAUUAUCUGAGGUGCCCCUGUUCUCCACAUGGUAUACCACAGGGGAGCCAUUUGCUGCAGUAUAUUCAUGUACAAACAAGAUCAUUAACUCAAUACAAUCUAACUCAUUUUGCAUUUUAAAAACUUUCUCUUAACCAGUGGUUUCAUGUUAACCCACGUCUGGCCUUCAGCUUCAUUCACUGUCAUCCCUGUCUAAUACACAGGCAGUGGUGGAAGAAGUAUUGAAAGCUUUUAUUUAAAAAGGAAAACCACAUGCCAGAAUCAUUGACUGAGCUAUUGGAAGUCGAGUUGCAUUGUUGAUAAUGCAGGUGCUUGGAUCUGACAAGGGAGAAGAAUGCAUGUAAUAAAAUAAACAAUAUCUUUAUUUCUUUUUUAUUUUAUUUCUGUGAUUUACCUCAUACUUAGAACUGUCCAACAAUGUUAAAGGACUGCAAUGCUAAAUUAGUAAAGUAUUGUUAAUGUUAAUGUAAUUGUAUUUGUUUAAAGUACCAAUACAACAAUAUAAAAAUACUCCUUUACAAAUGUCAUACAUAGAAUCAUACAUUAAGUAAAAGUAUUACAAGCUAAAUAUACCUAAAGUAUCAAAGUAAAAGUACUCGUUGUGCAGUAAAUUCCCCCUGUGAGUGAUAUAUUAUUACAAAUCAUAUUUAUAGACAUAUGCAUUGAUACAUGAGCAGUGUGUUACUGUUAUAGCAGGUUGAGGUGAGGUUCAUUUUAAUUACUUUAUUGUGAUGCCCAUCCCACUAUCCCUCUGCCAGGCAGUCUUGUCCAACCUCAGUGGGCAGUUGGCUGACAUGGGAGGGUCUUCGGCUGAUCUAGUUCACCUGGGACCUCUAGGCUAAAAAUGCUGGCCCAUGUGCUCACUCUGUCUUUCUUCCUACAACUCACACCCACCUCACGUCCUCUUCUUUUGGUUUGCCCUGUCAACCUUUCCAGAGCAGGCAUUGCUUACACUACUGAU